CAGCCGCCGCGGUAAUACGGAGGGUGCAAGCGUUAAUCGGAAUUACUGGGCGUAAAGCGUGCGCAGGCGGUUAUAUAAGACAGAUGUGAAAUCCCCGGGCUCAACCUGGGAACUGCAUUUGUGACUGUAUAGCUAGAGUACGGCAGAGGGGGAUGGAAUUCCGCGUGUAGCAGUGAAAUGCGUAGAUAUGCGGAGGAACACCGAUGGCGAAGGCAAUCCCCUGGGCCUGUACUGACGCUCAUGCACGAAAGCGUGGGGAGCAAACAGGAUUAGAUACCCCCGUAGUCCCUGUCUCUUAUAC
rnacentral:rRNA from 1 species